rnacentral:lncRNA from 1 species
UUCUAGAGCCUGAAGACAAGGCUGCUAGUUCUGCAAAGUUCAAUAUCAAAUUCAGCUUUCAGGAUGCCGAAUGUAGUAACUUGGUAACACCUCACUUCGCCGAGAAGGCUAAUGAGAUGACCUCUGCCAAUAAGAAUUCGAAAAUCCUUCUCGACCGAGACUUGGAUAGAUAACCAGUCGGCCUUGACGCAGUGUUGUUUAUCCAAACUGAAGAUGUUCAUCGAUUGCCUUCACAGCACUGUUUAUCCAAACUGAAGAUGUGUUGGCAGAAAAAGAAAAUAAAAAUAAAAUCUCAAGGUUGUUGAGAGGUUUCCCAUAGAGCGAGGGUUUGCGCAGGGUAGUUUAUGUGUUGGGUUGGAGGGGCUUUACACGUUGUUUACAGCCUUGUAUUUAUAGUAGUCAUAUUUUCUGUUUGGCAUGGCCUGGAUUAUUCCAUAAAAUCCAACUAAAAAAUUAAACUCCCUCCACGCGCUAACACACGGCAUCACCACCAUAUUUUUACUCUUGAUAGGCCAAUCCCUUUGCUAAUAAUUACCACAACCUGAAUUGGUGCUAGUCAGGCAGCAUAUUCGAAAUGUCUGAUGCCAACCACGUGUAAUAGAACUUUCAUUAAUUUCAAACCAUCCAUGCUGCUUGGCGGCCAAAUCCUCCACGUGUAUGUGAAUUAUGUAUGUCAUAAGCACCUACAAUUUAAUUGCAAUGCUAACUCUUGAAAGCCUUAUCACAUCCCAUUAAUGUCACCAAGCCUAGGCUACCUAGGCUUCCUACCUUAUCACCUUUAAACUCAUCCAUCCAUGCAUGCAUCCUGACCCUUCUUUCUUGAAUACCAGUUUUGCAGCAUAUCCACACGUCCACACACAUCUCAACUUAACUUGAACUAUACCGCUUGCUUAGAGAUAUAAUUUGCAUCUUAUUUAUCCCAUUUAAGAAUACGCCAAGAUAAUUCAUAUUAAAAAAAUAAUUACUAUGAUAAAAACCAUAAAAUUAUCCUUUAAUAACAAAAUUAUCCUCAUUUUUCCAUUUGACGGUUGGGAGCUAUACUCACUCAACGGCCUUAAUUGCAUGGGCCGAUGAUGUAAAAUCGGGUCCAAACAUUGCCCCCAAUUUCCUUGAGCUUCGGCUCAUAAGCCGAAUGGUUAAGGAAAUUAAGUCUCUCUAGCCAAUUAGGAGUACAUCGACGGCCUACCUAUCAGGCCGAGAUGAACCAGUUGUCGUGCACUUGAUUCUUAGUAACUUGCCGAGAAAAACUGAACCGAGGUCGAGCAGAAUUUUUCUUAGCAGCUCGGCCUGCCUAUAUAGAUAUAUAUAUUGAGCCGAGGUCAAGAAGCUCGGAACGAAGGCAAGCAGAAACAAAGUGAAAGCACUGUUGAGCUCGACAAACACACCGCUACAAGCCGAGACUAUUCCACCGAAUAGGUCACAAUAAUAUCACCAUAUUUGAGUCACAUCAAAUCUCUCUGCUUCACCAAAAAGUGGCCUACCUUUCAGCUAUAUUAUAAAAUGUAGAAUAAAGGGAAAGUGGACAUCAUGUCAGGGAAAGUGGAAUCAUGAUUCCAGACAUCAUAAUAUAUUUUUUUUAAUUAAUGUUUUUUUUCAAUCCACUUUUCUCAACUUUUGGCCCAAAAGUUUGUCUCGGCCCCUUAUUUCCUUGGCCUCGGCAGUCAAAUCAGCCCCUAAUUUCCUUAACCUCGGUAGUAAAAAAUGAAGGUCGACCCAAAAUCAGGGCGAGAUAUAUAUAUAUAUAUAUAUUAGGCCGAAUAUCUCAGCAACACAGCAAACAAACCUGAGCCAUCGACUAUCAAUGUUGCUCCCUUAUUUUCUCAUACAUCGGCCUGAAAGGCCAAAUGGUUAAGAAAAUAAUUUAUUCAUUCCUUUUUUUGUAGCAAAAGAAAAUGAAAAUGGUUGGACCAUAAUUAGGAGGAGGCCAACGAUGCUUUAUUCCAAGCCGAGAUCUGUUUAUACCAAAUUUUUCAAAUUGAUUUUGCUCUAGGCCGAAUAAAGGAUUUUCUCCAAAUAUUUGUAACUUGGCGAAAAUUUUUUCAUUUUUGGCCGCCGAAUGUGUUGAACAAUUAUUAUGCCCCCAUGCAUAAUUUCAGCUUUUAACUCAAACAGCUUAGUCGAACGGGAUUUCUCUAUAUCGGCUCUAUCACUAAUAAUCAUAUCAAUUGGCGUGGUUUUUCCGGCUAGGCCUAUGUCUCGGCCUUGUUCGUCUUGGAGCACUCCUCUAACAAAUCAUUUUCUUAGUCGAUUUUUGGCUCAAAAACUUGAAAAUUUUCUUCUAAGCCAACUAAACUUUCAAUCUCGACUGAAAAAAUAAGUGGCCUAGGUUUUUCUUUGGUUGUCUUGACAAUUUUCCUAGGCCGAAUUUUGAUUGUUGCUGGAGCGGAAAAUUGUCCUCAUCUUCUAGAUAACUUCUCAAGAAGUUUUGCUUUCUUCUUGUAGCAAUUCUUUACUUAGCGCCAAAUCUCCAACGGAACCUGAUUGAGAUCUUGAUCUAUCAUGUGAACUUCGUAGUUUUAGCACUGUGUCUCACUAGGUGUGCCAAAAUGUUGACCCUAAAAACUACCAAUCCUACGUGGCGCGCAGGCCGAGUAACUAAUGAGCUAACUACGUCAUUCGGUUGUGUGCGGGGUGUGUCAACUCGUCGGCCAAACUCGGCCGGCGAGUAAAAUAUGUUGAUAUGGCGUUGAGUGCGCUAUUGACUUCUUGAUCCUGCGAUUGCGACCGAGGAAGGAACAGGUCUCGGCCUUCGGGUUCUAGAGUCUGAAGACAAGGCUGCUAAUUUUGCAAAGUUCAAUAUCAAAUUCGGCUCUCAUGGUGCUGAAUGUAGUAACAUGGUAACACCUCACUUCGCCGAGAAGGCUAAUGAGAUGACCUCUACCAAUAAAGAUUCGAAAAUCCUUCUCAACCGAGACUUGGAUAGAUAACCAGUCGGCCUCGACGCAGUGUUGUUUAUCCAAACUGAAGGUACUCCACGGUCGGCGGAUUCUACGGCAACAAUGCUAUUUAUCCAAACUGAAGAUGUUCGUCGGUUGCCUUCACAUCGCUAUUUAUCUAAACUGAAGAUGUGUUGGCAGAAAAAGAAAAUAAAAAUCUCAAGGUUGUUGAGAGGUUUCGCAUAGAGCGAGGGUUUGCGCAGGGUAGUUUGUGUGUUAGGUUGGAGGGGCUUUACACGUUGUUUGCAGCCUUGUAUUUAUAGUAGUCAUAUUUUCUGUUUGGCAUGGCCUGGAUUAUUCCAUAUAGUCCAACUAAAAAAUUAAACUCCCUCCACGCGCUAACACACGACAUCACCACCAUAUUUUUACUCUUGAUAAGCCAAUCCAUUUGCUAAUAAUUAUCACAACUUGAAUUGGUGCUAGUCAAGCAGCAUAUUCGAAAUGCCUGAUACCAACCACAUGCAAUAGAACUCUCAUUAAUUUCAAACCUUCAAUGCUAACUCUUGAAAGCCUUAUCACAUCCCAUUAAGGCCAAAAGCCUCAUGCGCCCACGAUGAAUGGGGGGGCUUUGGCCGAAGAACCUCCGAUGCCAAAGUUAGAAUUUUAGAGAGAAAAAGUGUUUAGAGUGUUUAGUAUUUUUUGCAAGAGGAUUGGACUCAUCUUUUGGUGAAAAUGGGAAUCCAUUUAUAGGGAUAGGGGUGGCCGGCCUAGCUAGGGUUUUUGUGUUUGAUUUAGGUUUAAUUAGCCAAUUUAUUUGGCUAUUUAAACAUAAAAUGAAUGUUUUGGUGGUUUUUGGAAUUAAUUGGCUAGUUAAUUAGGGUAAUUAAAAAGGGAAAAUAGUGGAAAAGGUGGAGAAUAAGAUGGUUUACUUUUCUUGAUGGGAUUGGCCAGCCACUUUAGUAGUUUUAGGUUUGGAUGGGUGUUUUAAUUGAUAAUUAAGGGAUUGAUUAGGUAAUUAAUCCCUUAAUUAGUCAAUUAUUAUGAUUUUAGGAAAUAUGAAGGGAAUAAGUAUAUUAUUUAGCUAAUUGAUUAGCUAAAUAAUGAAAUGGGAAAUAUAUGAAUAAAUCAGAUUUUAAGUUGAUACCUAUUUUGGGCACUUUUGACUUGGUUGAGGGAUAAUUGUCUGCUGCUUGCGCGUAGGAAUCCCAGUAUGCCUCAAGGGUAUUCUUGUCAUUUUUAAUCCAAAAAUCCACGUAUCGCCUUGUGAUUAUUUUUUGCUCCACACCUACCUUAUCACCUUUAAACUCAUCCAUCCAUGCAUGCAUCCUGACCCUUCUUUCUUGAAUACCAGCUUUGCAGCAUAUCCACACGUCCACACACAUCCCAACUCAACUUGAACUGUACCGCUUGCUUAGAGAUAUAAUUUGCAUCUUAUUUAUCCCAUUUAAGAAUACGCCAAGAUAAUUCAUAUUAAAAAAUAAUUACUAUGAUAAAAACCAUAAUAUUAUCCUCAUUUUUUCAUCCGACAGUUAGGAGCUAUGAUCACUCAACGACUUUAAUUGCACGGGCUGAUGAUGUAAAAUCGGGUCCAAACAUCUGGCUAUUAAAAAAUUAACACAAAACGUUAACGUGGCUUAACUAUAACCAUUUAAAUAGGACGGGAGUGCAAGGAAGGGAGACUAGGAGGGGAGAAAAUUCGUUCACUGAUAGAAGUUGUAAUCAUGAACUUACCAAAUAAGUAUAGGCUUGUAAUUUCCUUUUUUUUUUUGGUAAUUCUAGUCUAACAACGAUUUCUUCCGUCACUUAACACUGUAGACUAGUGAUACUCUUUCAUUUGUAAGUGAGAGGUCUUAGGUUUGAAUAUUGCCAAAAGGCGAAUUUGAACAACAUUUUUGUUAACACAUUAUGAGGUUAAGCCCACUCAUUCUCCUUAAUUUAGAUAAUAUCGUUUGUUAAAAAAAAAAAUUUCUGCCAGGUUUGUAAUUCUUCCCUUGAUCAUCUUUCACAUGUUUUCUCUACUUUUGCUACUAUUUGGACUUGGAGAGAGUCAUUUUCCUCCUCAUCUUCAUUGGAUUUUAAAACUGAAUGUGGAUGGUGCCUUGGCUGGUCUAAUGGGCUGAGCUUGGGGAGUUGUACUAGGGUUUGAACAUGGCUAAAACAAUAAACUUUUCUCAUCUGAUUGUUGUUGUGUUACUAGAGCGAGAUUAAUUGUUUCUUAGUUUGCCUAUCUCUCUCCUUCUCCCGUGUAACCUGUGGAGUUAAAAAUAAUUUCAAAAAUUCUAAAGGUGACAUGUGAAUUUUUACACAAGAAGGAUAAAAUUGCCCUCACUAAAUGGGUAGACUCCUUAGAUAUUCUCACACGCAGCUCACACCCCUAAAGGUUCCUGCAACUAAAUAGGACUGCCCAUAGCUCAUCUGCCAUUGGCGGGAAAAAGUCAAAGCAUUAAAAAUAAGAAUUAAUUACCCAAAUCCUAUAUUUAAUAUAUUUUCAAUUAAAGAUUGAUUCAAUUCAAGUAAGUAAUCCCUAGUUAAAUUAAUUAAAGAUAUUUACUCUAUUAUCUCAAGAUAUUAUUUUUUAUUUAAUAUCUUGAGAAUAUUUCUCUAUAAACCUUGACCAAUGAGAUGCCGUCAUGUGUAGGGUAAAACUCUAACACUAUGGCUGGCUCUCUCCCCUAUAUAUAUCCCUAAUUCUACGAAAUUUCGGUAGACUUUUACAACCCUAAAAAACCUAAACACUUACUAUUUUCAGAUAAACUAACUUAGGCAUCAGAAAUGUUGGCCUAACCCCCUCACCUCGGAGGCGCGUGGGACUUAGAUUUUUUAUUAAAAAUGUUGAUUGUUUUGUAGAUGCAUUUUUGAUAAAGUUAGAUAUUAGAAAUUUGCAUCGAUAUAACCGAAAGAAAGAAAAGAAAAAGAACCUAAACAAUUCAGCCAAUAAAAUAUAUAUAUCAUUAAUAUUUGUGCUAGUUUUGAUUCCUUCCACCAAUCUGUUCAAACUUGGAGACUUGGGCAAUCAAAGCCAAAUUUGCACAAUUAAAGUAAGCACGGCUAGUAUUUGACGUUUUGGGAUCAGGACAAAGGCUGAAAAGUUGUGUCCUUUAAACACAUAGAAAAAUUAAAAGAAAUCUUAGCACCUAGCAGAAAACCAUGUGCACAAAACAAUUAUAAAAUUCAGGACCUAACCUGCAAUGCCUCCAAAUAAACAAAAGGUUUG